GUUAGGUUUUGAAUUUGGUGCUUUGCUUUCAUCGUGUUGUGCUGUGAAUGUCACCCUUCCAGUGAACAAAAUACCAUAUCAUCAAUACACCUAUCAAAUUAUUGUUAGUUAAUACUAUUUUACACCUUAUUUCCAAAAUAAAGGGAUUUAGGGAUCAUAUUUGAAUUGAAGGACCACAGAGACAUAUAAGCUAACAGUUCAAGGAUAUGAUAGAAGCCCAUUAUUCCAUUUUAUAUAUUUUUAAACAAACUGAUCCAGAUAAGUUAGAAAGGCUAUUGCUCCUCCUUCUUCUACUACUGAGGCAAUUGGAGCAUCACGUGUUAUGUGCCCCACACACAUGCAAAUGGAAUACUCAUCUUCAAUUUCAGAAUACAAUCCUUCCAGGAGGUUCUUAUCAUAAGUCACAACAAUUCUCUCUCUCGAUACAAGGAAUGGCUGGUGUUGUUGGAAAGCUUGAGGCAGAAAUUGAGGUGAAGUCAAAAAUAGACAAGUUCUGGAGUGCUAUCAGGAAUUUUGCAACCAUAUUCCCUAAGGCCUCACCAUCUCAAUACAAAAGCAUUUAGAUUAUUCAGGGUGAUGGCAAGGCUCCUGGCUUCUGGCUCCUAGCAAUUGCCUUUGCAAACACAUCUUCUUUCUUUCUUCACAUUUUUAAGGUCCAGCUUUCAGAUAAACGGAUACACAUUGGAGGGAAGCAACCCUCUGCUUUGUCCCUAGCUGUUUUCUGAUUUAUUAAGAAAGAAUAUUUCAAGUUGUUAGACGUGAUCAGGAGUGCUAAAAUGGUGACAACAUACUACCUAAAGGACUCAAGAAUAUUUUGAUUCAUAGAGACAUUAAUCUAUGUUAGACUUUUAACUUUUGGUUGAACUAGUGUAAAAAAUAUAACUUGUAGAACUAAUCAAUGUAGACACUAAUGUUAUUUUAUUUUAAAAUAAUUUGAGUUAAAUGAAGCAUGUUUGAAUU